rnacentral:rRNA from 1 species
UACGUAGGGGGCAAGCGUUGUCCGGAUUCAUUGGGCGUAAAGAGCGUGUAGGCGGCCAGGCAGGUCAGCUGUGAAAACUCGAGGCUCAACCUCGAGACGCCGGUUGAAACCAUCUGGCUAGAGUCCGGAAGAGGAGAGUGGAAUUCCUGGUGUAGCGGUGAAAUGCGCAGAUAUCAGGAAGAACACCCGUGGCUAAGGCGGCUCUCUAGUACGGUACUGACGCUGAGACGCGAAAGCGUGGGGAGCGAACAGG